GUCAUUUUCAUUUCUAUAUAAAUUUGAGAAUCAGCUUGUCAAUUUCUACCCCAGAAAAGAGCCUACUGGGAAUUUCACUGGUAUUGCAUUGAAUCUGUCAUUUCUUCAGUCUCAUCUUCUAGCGCAUCUUUGAGGCGGCGUCUCAGGACCUUCCCCUUGCAUGUGAGACGGUCGCAAAACCUGAGCCCUGCUCGCAACUCACCUGAGGAGCCAUCUCAGCAGCCCUGUGCAGUCUCCUCACCUUUCCACCUGUUCUCACUCAGAAUCUCUGUCAGGCCUCAGGGCUCCGAGCAAACGCCCCCUCCUCCGGAAGGCCCCCCCAGCAUCCCCAGGCACGGCACCCACAUAACGACUAUGUAGUACUAACAGCACAGGCUGGCCACACGUCAUGCUCAGCGACUUGCCCCUGUUAGUUCACUUACGCCUCCCACCAACACAAUGAGGUGGGGACCAACGCCAUCCUCCAUCUAUGGGUGGGAAACGUGAACUAAAAUAAAAUCUGAAGCCCCCCCCCAGCUGACUGAAUGGACCCCCUCUUGGCUGAGGGGACCCCAGGAAUACCCUAAAGCUGAGCUGCUGGCCCUGAGAAGGGAGGUCAGACAGCUUCAUCAUGCCCCCAUCCCAUCUUGGAGAUGUCCUCGUAACUCAGCACCAGGCCCGAGGCUUUGCAAGAAGCAGCUUAAACCCCACCUGCAGGUCCUCAAUUUCCUUAACAGAUCUCUGGAACCUGAGUCUAUGUCCGGUGGCUUGUCUCUGACUAACAGACUUCCCCUUGUCUUAACUUAAAACAUUCCAAUCCUUUAGACAAAGCUUCAUUUCUUUAACCAACUACAAAUCAAAAAAAUCUUUA